UCCUUCGGGAGGCAGCAGUAUGGAAUAUUGGGCAAUGGUCGAGAGGCUGACCCAGCCAUGCCGCGUGCAGGAAGAAGGCCUUCUGGGUUGUAAACUGCUUUUGUCCGGGUAGAAAACGCCCCUGCGGGGGUAACUGACGGUACCUGACGAAUAAGCACCGGCUAACUCCGUGCCAGCAGCCGCGGUAAUACGGAGGGUGCAAGCGUUGUCCGGAUUUAUUGGGUUUAAAGGGUGCGUAGGCGGCCCGUUAAGUCAGCGGUGAAAUCCCGGGGCUCAACCCCGGAACUGCCGUUGAUACUGGCGGGCUUGAGUUCGGUCGAGGCGGGCGGAACUGGUGGUGUAGCGGUGAAAUGCAUAGAUACCACCAAGAACCCCGAUUGCGAAGGCAGCUCGCUGGGCCGAAACUGACGCUGAGGCACGAAAGCGUGGGGAGCGAACAGGAUUAGAUACCCUGGUAGUCCACGCCGUAAACGAUGAUGACUCGAUGUUUGCGAUACACGGCAAGCGUCCAAGCGAAAGCGUUAAGUCAUCCACCCUGGGGAGUACGCCCGCAAGGGUGAAACUCAAAGGAAUUGACGGA
rnacentral:rRNA from 1 species